GCUAAUACAUGCAAGUCGAGCGAAUGGUUUAAGAGCUUGCUCUUAUGAAGUUAGCGGCGGACGGGUGAGUAACACGUGGGUAACCUGCCCAUAAGACUGGGAUAACUCCGGGAAACCGGGGCUAAUACCGGAUAACAUUUUGAACCGCAUGGUUCGAAAUUGAAAGGCGGCUUCGGCUGUCACUUAUGGAUGGACCCGCGUCGCAUUAGCUAGUUGGUGAGGUAACGGCUCACCAAGGCAACGAUGCGUAGCCGACCUGAGAGGGUGAUCGGCCACACUGGGACUGAGACACGGCCCAGACUCCUACGGGAGGCAGCAGUAGGGAAUCUUCCGCAAUGGACGAAAGUCUGACGGAGCAACGCCGCGUGAGUGAUGAAGGCUUUCGGGUCGUAAAACUCUGUUGUUAGGGAAGAACAAGUGCUAGUUGAAUAAGCUGGCACCUUGACGGUACCUAACCAGAAAGCCACGGCUAACUACGUGCCAGCAGCCGCGGUAAUACGUAGGUGGCAAGCGUUAUCCGGAAUUAUUGGGCGUAAAGCGCGCGCAGGUGGUUUCUUAAGUCUGAUGUGAAAGCCCACGGCUCAACCGUGGAGGGUCAUUGGAAACUGGGAGACUUGAGUGCAGAAGAGGAAAGUGGAAUUCCAUGUGUAGCGGUGAAAUGCGUAGAGAUAUGGAGGAACACCAGUGGCGAAGGCGACUUUCUGGUCUGUAACUGACACUGAGGCGCGAAAGCGU
rnacentral:rRNA from 1 species